rnacentral:rRNA from 1 species
GCCUACGGCCAUACCACCCUGAAAGCGCCCGAUCUCGUCUGAUCUCGAAAGCUAAGCAGGGACGGGCCGGGUUAGUACCUGGAUGGGAGACCGCCUGGGAAUACCAGGUGUUGUAGGCU